GGACUACAGGGGUAUCUAAUCCUGUUUGCUCCCCACGCUUUCGUGUCUCAGCGUCAGUAUCUGUCCAGUUGGCCGCCUUCGCCACCGGUGUUCCUCUCGAUAUCUACGAAUUUCACCUCUACACCGAGAAUUCCACCAACCUCUCCAGUACUCGAGCCAUACAGUAUCGAGUGCACUUCCAGGGUUGAGCCCUGGGCUUUCACAUCCGACUUAUAUGGCCGCCUACACACGCUUUACGCCCAGUAAUUCCGAACAACGUUUGCACCCUCUGUCUUACCGCGGCUGCUGGCAC
rnacentral:rRNA from 1 species